UCCAGGUAGCAAUAUACAUCACGCUACAUCUAAGUCACAUGUCCAAAAUAACAAAAAACAUAGCCAUUUCAACAUCUUGAAUAUUCAUCAAGCUAACAAAAAGAGCUGUAGCUACCCCUAAACAUUAUUGAGGCUGCUUUUCACUUCACUGAGACAUCAUCCACUUCACUGAGACAUCCUCCAGACCACACUAUAACCACUCUGAAAGAAGCAAACUGUAGCCAAAUUAGUCAAAGGUAUAAAGAUUAGAGUUAGCUCUAGGUUCAUGCAUAUCUAUUGGACAGCUCCCUGGUCAACAUAUAACAGUUAAUGAAACAAAUCUAUCCACAAAAAUAAUACUACUAUAUAGCAUAUCAGGUGUACGACCAUCACAAAUAGCAAAACUGAAAUUUGAACAUGGAAACUCUAGCAUCUCUACAAGCACAGUAUAUGGCAUGGCUGAUGUUAUUUAGGAAUAAACAUACAAAUCUAUGUUAUUCAGGUUUCUAGUUUACUCCUACCUGAUAAAACUAUAUGCAACAUACUCAAAUAAUGAAACUCCUUAUUUGCUGCAAGCAAAUUGCCAGCCAAAACAAUAGUUGUUACUUUAAUGCAAUUAUUAGUUUAUCAACUCAAUAUAGGAUGGAUUAAGGAAAGGGUACGUAUCACUGAACAGACCUUGGCAUUGAACUCAAACCUGAGCAUGACAUCCUGCUCCCAUCCCUUGCUACGCACAUCAAUAGAUAA
rnacentral:lncRNA from 1 species